AUUGUCUUACAGAGGUGGCUGUUUGUAAAGGUAAUUGUCUUAUACAGGUGGCCGUUUGUACGGGUGAUUGUCUUACAAAGGUGGCUGUUUGUAAAGGUGAUUGUCUUACAGAGGUGGCUGUUUGUACAGGUGAUUGUCUUAUACAGGUGGCUGUUAGAGCUGGUUUGACUGUAUUUGAACAAGAAACAUUGGGCCAGUAGUUGGUGAGUUCCUCCCAAACAUUUCCGCUUGCUGUGAAAUAUUGUAUUUCUAUUAUUGUUUAUUUUGGGUCGUAUUUUUUUACUUACUGCUUAUUGAAAUAAAAUUAUCUUUCAUCACUUCUA